rnacentral:rRNA from 1 species
UACGGAGGGUGCAAGCGUUGUCCGGAAUCACUGGGCGUAAAGGGCGCGUAGGCGGCUCAUGAAGGCUGUGGUGAAAGUCCGGGGCUCAACCUCGGAUCGGCCGUGGCGACUCGUGGGCUGGAGCACUGUAGAGGCGGGGGGAAUUCCGGGUGUAGCGGUGGAAUGCGUAGAGAUCCGGAAGAACACCAGUGGCGAAGGCGGCCCGCUGGGCAGUGGCUGACGCUGAGGCGCGACAGCGUGGGGAGCAAACAGG